UACGGGAGGUGCAAGCGUUGUCCGGAAUUAUUGGGCGUAAAGAGCUCGUAGGCGGUUUGUUGCGUCGGCUGUGAAAUCCCGAGGCUCAACCUCGGGUCUGCAGUCGAUACGAGCAAACUAGAGUGUUGCAGGGGAGACUGGAAUUCCUGGUGUAGCGGUGAAAUGCGCAGAUAUCAGGAGGAACACCGGUGGCGAAGGCGGCGUCCUGGACUGGUGACUGACGGCUCGAGGAGCGAAAGCGUGGGGAGCGAUCCGGAU
rnacentral:rRNA from 1 species